rnacentral:rRNA from 1 species
UACAGAGGUGGCAAGCGUUGUUCGGAAUUACUGGGCGUAAAGGGCGCGUAGGCGGCCUUCUAAGUCAGACGUGAAAUCCCCCGGCUUAACCUGGGAACUGCGUCUGAUACUGGGAGGCUCGAGUAUGGGAGAGGGAUGUAGAAUUCCAGGUGUAGCGGUGAAAUGCGUAGAUAUCUGGAGGAACACCGGUGGCGAAGGCGGGUCUCUGGGCAGUAACUGACGCUGAGGAGCGAAAGCGUGGGUAGCAAACAGG